GUGAGGAAACUAAGAUAGAUAAAGACCAGGUGAACUGUCCAAAUGACACAGCUACCCUGGGGCUGGCAAACUCCAAACGCUUUUAACCUUGGUCCUACAGAGGAGUGGUGCAGCAGAUCCAGAGGCACCUUCAGCUGUGUAGCAGAAGUGGAGAUGUUUUUAACAUGCCAGAGCUAUGCCUUUUGCCAGACCCACCCAGCAUCCACCCAGAGCACAGAGCAAGAUCAGCCACCAGAGCGGGGAUCCUGAGGAUGCCACAAUUCCAGUUACUCACUGGGUUCAUGCAGAUGCUGCUCCUGAAAAAUCACAGCUACUCCAGAACACAGAGCUUCCUGAGUCCACCCCAAACAUUUCCCCAAGUACUCUGCAACCAGCAGAAGAGCAGCUCUCUGGUCUGAGUGCCUUAUGAUUUAUGAAUAACUCUGGUUUCCAUUAAGCUGCAGAAAGGGGAUAGUGUGUUUCACCCUGUGCUGAGAACCCCAUUUGUUUCCGUUCCUGUCAGCAGUUUGCAUAAGUGAAUGAUUUUAUUUCAUGUGAGAGAGAAGGCAAACACACAAGUUAUCCCAGCAGUGGAAGAUUUGUCAAAUAAAGCUUUUAAUAAUGGUGUUAUUUGACA
rnacentral:lncRNA from 1 species